rnacentral:misc_RNA from 1 species
UUUCUGUAGGUGAACCUGCGGAAGGAUCAUUCAUAAUAAAGUGUUUUAUGGCACUUUUUAAAAAUCCAUAUCCACCUUGUGUGCAAUGUUAGAUCUCGUCAAUCUUGGCGAGAUUUUUAUACAUCAACUCAUUCUUUAACUAAUUUGUCUGAAAGAUAUUAUGAAUAAAACAAUUCAAAAUACAACUUUCAACAACGGAUCUCUUGGCUCUC